rnacentral:rRNA from 1 species
UACGAGGGGGGCGAGCGUUGUUCGGAAUUAUUGGGCGUAAAGGGUGCGUAGGCGGUUCCGCAAGUCCUGUGUGAAAUCUUCGGGCUCAACUCGAAGUCUGCACGGGAAACUGCGGGGCUUGAGUGUGGGAGAGGUGAGUGGAAUUCCCGGUGUAGCGGUGAAAUGCGUAGAUAUCGAGAGGAACACCAGUGGCGAAGGCGAGUCCCUGGACAACUCCUGACACUGAGGCACGAAAGCUAGGGGAGCAAACAGG